AUUGAACGCUGGCGGCAGGCUUAACACAUGCAAGUCGAGCGAGCGGCGGACGGGUGAGUAAUGUCUGGGAAACUGCCUGAUGGAGGGGGAUAACUCCUGGAAACGGUAGCUAAUACCGCAUACCAUCAGAUGUGCCCAGAUGGGAUUAGCUAGUAGGUGGGGUAAUGGCUCACCUAGGCGACGAUCCCUAGCUGGUCUCAGAGGAUGACCGGCCACACUGGACCUGAGGGACGGGCCAGACUCCUGCGGUGGGCAGCAGUGGGGAAUAUUGCACGAUGGGCGCAAGGCUGAUGCAGCCAUGCCGCGUGUGUGAAGAAGGCCUUCGGGUGGUAGAGCACUUUCAGCGAGGAAGCGUUACUCGCAGAAGAAGCACCGGCUAACUCCGUGCCAGCAGCCGCGGUAAUAC
rnacentral:rRNA from 1 species